UAGGUGACUUAAUUGACUAGAUGUAGGGCCAGCAUAGCCAUGUUGACCGACACCCAUUGCUUUAGAAUAUUUGGGAGCUCGUGAGAGAGUUUGCUUCCUUUUAGGUCAUUUAUGUUUAUCGAGAGCCGAACAAUGCUACUAAUUGGUUGCUCUCUAUAUUACGCACCACUCAGAAGAGUUCUUUUAGAAGAGUGUGUUUCUUCUUUUUUCUGUUAAUUUUUUCUUUUUGACCUUUCUGGAUGUCCUCAUGCACAUUUGGUGUGAGUUACCGCCGUACCAAAAAAAAAGAGAAAAAAUUGAGAAGUUCCUUUGUUAUAGUUGUACCAUCCAUUUUGACUCUGCAUCAUGCCCAUUAGUAUAAAUUUCUUCGCUAAACCAUAUUGUAGGAUGAAUUGGGUUAGGCAAAUCCAACCAAGAGACAACCUAAACAAUA
rnacentral:lncRNA from 1 species